rnacentral:rRNA from 1 species
CGCUCGUAGUCGGAAUUUGGCGGGCGACGCAGGGCAUCUUUGCGGAUNNNNNNGUAUCGGCCGCCUUUGUGGAUGGGGGCUUAGUGGUGCUUUAUUGUGUUGCUAAGUCGCUGCCACCGUUUACUGUGAAAAAAUUGGAGUGUUCAAAGCAGGCGUUUGCCUUGUACACAUUAGCAUGGAAUAAUAGAAUAGGACCUGGUUCUGUUUUGUUGGUUUGUGAGAAUUAGGUAAUGAUUAAGAGGGACGGUUGGGGGCAUUUGUAUUCUGCCGUCAGAGGUGAAAUUCUUAGAUUGGCGGAAGACAAACAGCUGCGAAAGCGUCUGCCAAGGACGUUUUCAUUGAUCAAGAACGAAAGUAAGGGGAUCGAAGACGAUCAGAUACCGUCGUAGUCUUUACUAUAAACGAUGAGGACUGGGGAUCGGGCGGCGCUGCUUUAUGGCCCGCCCGGCACCCUUCGGGAAACCAAAGUGUUUGCUUUCUGGGGGGAGUAUGGUCGCAAGGCUGAAACUUAAAGGAAUGA